GUGAGAUUAUGUCCAGGCCUGUCUCCUUUCAGUUCUUCUUUCUUUAGAAUGAAUUUUCAUGUCUGCAUUUUUUUUUUGUCCAGAAUGAUUGUGAACAACACUUAAUCACUGGAAUAGUCCAAAAUUCCCUUUUUGAGUCACUUCUCCUUGUCCUUUUCUUGACUUAUUCUUCUUGUCUCUAAAGCCCCUGAUCUUAGAAACAAACACUUCUCUUCAGUUGAUAUCCCAUUGAGUGCUAUAGUCUUUGCAGUAUUGAAAUAGAGAAAACCAUGUACCUAGGCUUCCAGAGUUUGCAGCAGGUUCUUAGUAAACAUGCAGGCCAAUAAGAAAAAACAAGCAGAAUUUCAAUUUCCUGACAAAUCUUUGACUAAUAAGGGUUUCUCAUAUCUCCAGGUUACAUCAAGCUGACUCAUGAGAGACAUUCGGAGCACCCUCAAGAGUCUCCACAAGGCUUUGCUUACUGUAUUAAUCAGGGUUCCCUAGAGGAACAGAACUGCUAGGAUAGAUGUAUAUAUGAAAGGGAGUUUAUUAAAGGAGAAUUGACUCACAUGUUCACAAGGUGAAGUCCCAUGAUAGGUCAUCUGCAAGCUGAGGAGCAAGAAAGCCAGUGGAGCAAGAAAGUCAGAGCCCCAAAAUCUCAAGUCAGGAAGCUGACUGUGCACUUUCAGUCUGUGGCCAAAGGCCCAAGAGCCCCCAGCAAACCACUGCUGUAAAUCCAAGAGUCCAAAUGCUGAAGAACCUGGAAUCUGAUGUUUGAGGGCAGGAAGCAUCUGGCAUGAGAGAAAGAUGAAGGCUGGAAGACUCAGCAAACCUGCUCUUCCAUCUUCUGCUGCUCUAUUCUAUUCACGCUGGCAGCUGAUUAGAUGCUGCCCACCCAGAUUGAGGAUGCUGCUUUAUGAGUGCCUGAGACCUGAGCCACAGCAUCUGUCAACCAUGUCACCAUGAGCCUGGGGAGACGAUGCCAACUACUAAGGCAGGAAAGAGAUCAUGGAUCAUGAAUGGUGUCAUUGAGCCAUCCCAGAAGUCACAGACUUGAAGGUCAUUUGUUAUGUAAAAUAAUUAUCCUGUUUGUUUAUUUGUUUACAGACUUUGUUAACUUCCACCACACAAGGUAUACUUUGGAGGCUGAAGUGCAAGAAAUGUGAAAUUCAACUCUUUCACAUGAAAAAAAGAAACCCACACUGGAAGCAGUUCAUGAUAUAGGACACAUCCAAAACUCUACAGAAGAAUGUCCCAUGUGCCCAAUUAAAACAUCUUAUUUGAUUAGCCUAUUUUUAGGAAAAUAUAAUACACAGAAUGAAUUCCAUAUAAAACUGUUUUGAAAUUUCCUAGAAUGUUUUUGCUAGAUUCUAAAGGAAAAAAAUCUUAAUAUGAGUUUAUGUAACCUGCCUCACUCAAGAGGACAUGAAUAACCUUCUCUUGUUUAAAGACUCUUACUUUCUAUGUACAUCCAUUGUUCAUCUAUUCUUUCAAGCCAUAAAUUCUUUUAAAAGAUAGAAGUUUUGCUUUGUUUUAUUCUUUGAUUUUGUCUCCAAUAUUAUUAGAAAUCCUAUCAGAAACUAUUGCUUGAAUUUUUACAAAAAUAAAU
ensembl:lncRNA